rnacentral:rRNA from 1 species
CCUACGGGUGGCAGCAGUGAGGAAUAUUGGACAAUGGGGGAGAGCCUGAUGCAGCAACGCCGCGUGGGUGAAGAAGUAUUUCGGUAUGUUAAGCCCUAUCAGCAGGGGAGAGAAUGACGGUACCUGACUCAGAAGCCACGGCUAACCACGUACCAGCAGCCGCUGGCAUAAGGAGGGAGCAGGCGGUAUCCGGAUUUACUGGGUGUAAAGGGAGCGUAAUCGGUUGUGGAAGUCUGAAGUGAAAGCCGGCGGCUCAACGGCGGAACGGCUUUGGAAACUGUGUAACUGGAGUGCUCGAGAGGUAAGCGGAAUUCGUGGUGUAGCGGUGAAAUGCGUAGAGAUCAGGAGGAACACCGGCGGCGAAGGCGGCUUACUGGACAGCAACUGACGUUGAGGCUCGAAAGCGUGGGGAGCAAACAGGAUUAGAUACCCGUGUAGUC